UACAGAGGUCUCAAGCGUUGUUCGGAUUCAUUGGGCGUAAAGGGUGCGUAGGCGGCGGAGCAAGUCAGGUGUGAAAGCCCGGAGCUCAACUCCGGAACUGCCAUUGAAACUGUUUAGCUUGAGGAUGAGAGAGGUGAGUGGAAUUCCCAGUGUAGAGGUGAAAUUCGUAGAUAUUGGGAAGAACACCGGUGGCGAAGGCGGCUCACUGGCUCAUUACUGACGCUCAGGCGCGAUAGCGUGGGGAUCAAACAGG
rnacentral:rRNA from 1 species